rnacentral:rRNA from 1 species
GACGAACGCUGGCGGCGUGCUUAACACAUGCAAGUCGAACGGAAAGGCCCUGCUUGCAGGGUACUCGAGUGGCGAACGGGUGAGUAACACGUGGGUGAUCUGCCCUGCACUUCGGGAUAAGCCUGGGAAACUGGGUCUAAUACCGGAUAGGAGCCAUUUUUAGUGUGAUGGUUGGAAAGUUUUUUCGGUGUAGGAUGAGCUCGCGGCCUAUCAGCUUGUUGGUGGGGUAAUGGCCUACCAAGGCGGCGACGGGUAGCCGGCCUGAGAGGGUGGACGGCCACACUGGGACUGAGGUACGGCCCAGACUCCGACGGGAGGCAGCUGUGGGGAAUACUGACCAAUGGGCGCAAGCCUGAUGCAGCGACGCCGCGUGGGGGAUGACGGCCUUCGGGUUGUAAAAUCCUUUCGCUAGGGACGAAGCUUUUUGUGACGGUACCUAGAUAAGAAGCACCGGCUAACUACGUG